rnacentral:misc_RNA from 1 species
UGGCUCUGGCAUCGAUGAAGAACGCAGCGAAAUGCGAUAAGUAAUGUGAAUUGCAGAAUUCAGUGAAUCAUCGAAUCUUUGAACGCACAUUGCGCCCGUCAGUAUUCUGGCGGGCAUGCCUGUUCGAGCGUCAUUAUAACCACUCAGGACCCCUCUGAUUUCGAUCGGGGCGGGGCCUGGCGUUGGGGAUCGGCCCGCCCCGUGCGGCGCCGUCCCCCAAAUCCAGUGGCGGUCUCGCUGCAGCCUCCCAUGCGUAGUAACUUAACCUCGCAGCGGAGCGCGGCGCGGCCACGCCGUAAAACCCCCGACUUUUACUGGUUGACCUCGGAUCAGGUAGGAAUACCCGCUGA